GCGGCCAUCGUUUAGUGGCAGGACGACUGCUUCCCAAGCAGUAGACGCGAGUUCGAUUCUCGCUGGCCGCA
rnacentral:tRNA from 1 species